rnacentral:rRNA from 1 species
UACAGAGGGUGCGAGCGUUAAUCGGAAUUACUGGGCGUAAAGGGUGCGUAGGCGGUUGUUUAAGUCUGUCGUGAAAUCCCCGGGCUCAACCUGGGAAUGGCGAUGGAUACUGGACAGCUAGAGUGUGUCAGAGGAUGGUGGAAUUCCCGGUGUAGCGGUGAAAUGCGUAGAGAUCGGGAGGAACAUCAGUGGCGAAGGCGGCCAUCUGGGACAACACUGACGCUGAAGCACGAAAGCGUGGGGAGCAAACAGG